UACGUAGGGACCGAGCGUUGUCCGGAUUCAUUGGGCGUAAAGAGCUCGUAGGCGGCCACUCAAGUCGAAUGUGAAACCUCGAGGCUUAACCUCGAGCCUGCAUUCGAUACUGGGCGGCUAGAGUCCGGUAGGGGAGCGUGGAAUUCCUGGUGUAGCGGUGAAAUGCGCAGAUAUCAGGAGGAACACCAGCGGCGAAGGCGGCGCUCUGGGCCGGUACUGGCGCUGAGGAGCGAAAGCGUGGGGAGCAAACAGG
rnacentral:rRNA from 1 species